GUGCGUUAGCGAUUGAUGCGGUAUCCUUUUUUUGAGGUACGAGAAAAAAGAUAUAGCGGAAAGCGCGACCCCUU
rnacentral:sRNA from 1 species